CUGCCGAUAAGUUGUGAUAAGACAAUAAUUCACGCGUUAAGGCUAGCGGAAUUGAUCAUCUUUUCGUAUAACGAUAGAAAUGAAACAUUGUUUUAAUUAAAGAGUGGAAAAGAUGAUCAUUGGAAAUAUUCAUAAUCUUCAGCCGUGGCUACCCCAGGAGUUACGCCAGGCGAUUGA
rnacentral:misc_RNA from 1 species